AGACAAAUAAGAUCAAUAAACCUGGAUGUUUGAGAAAGGUGUAUGAUUCUGUAAUUAUAAGCAUUUGGCUUUUCUCCCUCUCUCUUUCUUCUAAUGCUAAACAAAAACUGGGCUAGAAUAGAAAAUAAAAAAGUCUGGCCUUUUCUAUUUUAAAUCUUUAGUCGAAUGGUGGGAUGUUGUGGAGGAAGAAUGUGCUCUGAGGAAGGGUGUUCAAAGAGAAUUUGAGAAUCUACAAAGGCUUAAACAGAUGUAAUUUCCUCUAGGUUUGAAUCACAGGCAUCUAGAGACUUUCAUUUGCAUGUCCUGCAGGUUUCCUCUUCUGCUUUCCUGUGAUACUGUAUGAUAAAUUACUUUAUUUGCUAAAGAAUUCUGCACUGGGGCUUCAACAGGCAGCCUGAUAUCUAGGCAGGCAGCAGUCCCUCAAAAGAGACACCUAUUAAGCUGUAAGGAUUGAAUGAUUACUAAAUCUAGCAGUGUGAUACUUGACAUAUUCACCCCCAAGAAAAAACUGUCAUAAAUGUGCUUUGAAGUAAGUACAUUUAUGAAGCUCACAAAAAAUGUUAAAUGGGAUUAAUAGAAUUACCAUUCUAAGUAUGGGACUCUUAAGUCUCAAAAUGAUGCAUUUACCACUUAACCUCUUUUGUUGCCAGGGUCACAGCAGCAGUUAAGCAUUACCAGCCACCUGCAAAACUUGGCACCCCAGAAGAUGUAUGACAAGGAGUUGAAUAUUGGACUUGCCUUGCCCUCUAAUUGGAUUCAGAUGCAUUUUAGGUUAUCUGUGCUGGACUCGAAGAGACCCCUUCCAAAAGAAAAUAAGAAAGAAAAAGACUCAGUAUGAAAGCGUGCAGAAAGGUAUUAGACAAGGAUGCUGUGAUGGAUGUGAUGGACAAUUUAAGACUCUGAAUUUAAUAUCUGUACAGAGAAUGUUCUUUGAGUAUUGAUACAUAUUAUUUGUUUGAAUAAAUAAAGGGGAUAAACAGUCCUACUGCAUUUGGGGCCCAUCAUCUUUCAAUCUGAGGCUGCAUUUACACUGUAGAAUUAAUGCAGUUUGACCCACUUUAACUACCAUGGCUCAAUGCUAUGGAAUCAUGGGAGUGGUAGUUUGGUGAAGCAACAACAUUCUUUAGCAGAGUAAGCUAAAGACUUAUAAACUACAAUUCCUGUGAUUCCCUAGCAUUGAGUCAUGCAGUCAAAGUGGUGUCAAACUGCAUCAAUUCUACAAUGUAACUUCAUCCUGGGUGAGUCUCUGGGUACAUCUGUGCUGACCACUUAAUGUGAUGUGAAACCAGCAGAGGAGGAAGCGAUUUGAAGGUGGAGCUGAUUA
rnacentral:lncRNA from 1 species